ACAAGAACAAUGCAACUCAGCACCGGCAGCAGCAACAAACUGACUGCAGCAGUCACCACAUGGGGCUGUGGCUGAAUGUAAAUGGUGGCACCCCAGCACCGCCUUCCCAGAUCGUGCUCGGUGGGAGUGGCUCGCAGCGUCGCCAUUUCAUAUAUGCACGUGUGGUGAGGAAGGGGGAGCGCGCGCAAAAGCCGGGGACCGGAAGGCGAACGUGAUCAACUUAUAAACACAGUAUGAAUUAAAUCUAAUGUGGAUUUCUGAUGACACCCGCCAUUCUUCCAUGCUGCACAGCUCAAAGUUGAUUCCCAACCAGUCAAAUCCUGACGCUCUGGAAUGGCGGUCGACCCAACCUACAAGCCCAAAGGACCUUUAACCCCUAAACUUCUUGGAGAAGUUAAGGAUGGCCAAGCAGCUUUGCAAAAUAAAACCAAGAUGCAGGAUUGUGAACAAUUCUUCAAAGGAUCCUCAGGCUAAACCAUCCUUCCUUUCUUCAUUUCCUGUUGUAUUUUAAGUAAGUGAAAGUAGAGCUGGCAUACAGCAACAUUCACUCAUUAAACAGUGUUAAACAGAG